GUAUGAUUCUAAUAUGGGAACAUGGAUCAUGAAUUACAUGUGGGCUUUUCCGAGGAGGCUCUACGUGAAAAUGUUGCAGCAUUUGUGAAUGCUCUUUUGGUUGCAAAACCUGUUGGCCUAAAGAAAAAUAUCCGAGACCACAUAAUUUCAAAGUUCAUGUGUGUAUGUGGAGCUACAAAUAUACUAGCCGAUGGCGCUUAGGGAAACUAUCAACCGCAUCUUGGAGUCAACUACCAGUGGUGCAGAAAAUGCUGGAAGUGUAUUACAUGUGCAAGAUAUGGAGUUCGCUCGGUGUUCACUGCCUAAAGCUCCAUCCCCUACUCUUUCUGCCACUGCAAAAGAGGAAACUAUGACAGAUCAUCGUGAAGAUCAUACUCAUAAUAUAAAGAAGACCUUUUCUAU